UCUCACUUCUCGUUGUUCGCGUAAAACCUGAGACUAGCAAUGUCUGUAGAAAGAGAAGAGCGCACCUAGAACUGAGGGAACAGAAUUAAACACAGCAGGGGACAAAAGGCACUUGGAAUUCAGUGUUACUUGAAUUCCCCAAAAAGCAGAAGAAAUUUGAGCACAAUUUUCAUCUUGUGAUGAAGGCAAAUGGAGUUACUGACGAACGAGACUGUUAACGUUGCUGGAUCAGAGGAACUAUCCUUUGCUUACAUACAAUCAGGUACAAGGAGAAAAACAGGCAUCAAACUGUGCUAAAGAUAUCUGAAGAAUAUCGCUCUCCUGGAAUGAAUGAAACAUCUGAGGGACACCUAUUGCUCGUGAAAAGCAAGGGAAACUUGUGGAUCGUGAGUAACAGAUUUGAGACUGCUGAGUUUAACAUACACAGUUGGAGGGCUGGUGGAUUCGCUGUUUUGAGACCAGACUGUAAUGGAGAUCUGAGAACCAAAACUGAAAACGUCUGCUGGCAGAGCUUGACUUAGAAGCCAAAAAGCAUGGUGAAUUUGUCAGGCUGCUGCUUUCUGAUGCCUCUAAAUUAACAAUAUUAAAUAAACAGAAAUUAAUCACCAGUAGCUCUGCUUGCAGAUCCUAGAAGGAAAAUAAGGCAGUCUGGUUGAGGUGGGUGCUUGUAAGUGAACUGGAAAUCUAUCUUUCCUGAAGAAUCCCUUCAUUGACUGAGCAGGGACCAACCUGAAGACAAAAGAGAUAUCAUGGCCUUCUUCCACAAAAGGAAGGGGCCGUGGAUUUGCCCUACUGGCAGGAACCAGCAGUUGGAUUGGGCUCGUGGGCUGUAGACCUGUUCCCCGGGCACCCAGGGCCCAAGCUUGGGAGGAGCUGGCAAGUCUGGCAGGAAAAGGGCUCAGAAGAGGCUACCCCAUGCCAUGGUCUGCAAGGACAGAAGAGAGCAGCUCCAAGAUGGAUGGUUAAAAUGCUCAGGCGAGUGAGCGGCUGCUGGCAGUGUGAAACCCCCAUCUCUCUUCUUGCUUGCACAGAGGUGCUUGCUGGUGUGUGCUUGUUUACCAGUCACCGUACUAAAGGUUUGAUGUAUAAACUCAGCCCUCAAAUUGCGAUCACUCACUGCUUAAGAAUACCACAGCUGUUUGCGGCAAGUUGGAUGUAUGUUGAAGCAUCUGGUGAAAUCAAAGCCUUUGGUGGGAGCACACUGAAAGGGCAAUUUGUACAGGGCUGCAGAGCUCUCCUCUCCUAAUCGACAGGAAAAAGCAACGCAUUUCAUAAGAGGAAACCUUUCCAAUGACUGCUGGAUUUGAGCUUGCUAUUUCCCAUAAUAAGGAUGAAGCAAAACAGGAUCUUGCUAAUGGCUGUGGAUAACUGGGCCCCUAUUACUGCAAGCACAGAGGUGCUGCUCAGUGCGUAACGAAGAGCUCAGUGUCCUGAGCAAAGCAUGCCAACGCCAUCCUCCUGCGCUGGGAUAUUUAUUUCUCCCCUUGCGCAAGAAAAACAUGGCAAUCUCAGCCUUCCCUUUGGAAAUCAAUGGCCAACAGAAAAGGACUGAAUUUGACAGCCACCCCAGGAGGUCUCCCUCCUGCAGGGAAGGGCACGGCGGGUGCUCCCGGCCGGCUCCAGCCGCCCGCCCUGAGGAGCCCCUUUGGUUCAGCCUCUGCUGUUGAACAGCUCUGUGGAUGUGCCAGGGAGAAGCGGAGAGGUUUGUCUUUUGCUCUAACUGAAGGCAGAUCCUGCAGACAAGUAAGACAGUGUCCUGCAGACACUGUCUUUCCUCCCCAGGGAGGCUGCCAUGUUCCAGCUCUCCUUUCUUUCCGCUUCGAUUCAUUGCCCUGCUGACAAGCGCUGAACUAGCAGCACCUUAAGCAACUUUUCCAUUGUUGGGCAAUUUAGGAGGAAAACUAUUUUCUUCCUCAAAAGUAAGAGCAUUUCAACUCCCUUCAGAGCUGUUAGCCACAAAAUGUGUCAGUUCGGUCUUCCCGGCUUACCGCAAUGGGGUAAAACAGUUUUGGCCUCACCUGAGUUUCUCUUCUGAGCAUGGACGGGCUAGUUUGGGGGCUUUGAUGGGAGGCAGCAACCGGCAGCGAGCAGCACGACGGCGCCGGAGCUCCCGGCUCGCUGUGACAAACCCCACCAGCCAGCUUAUUAAUAUCUUCUUCCUUCAGUGUGAUCAUGACUUGGGCAGAGUCUUGUGUCUGUUGAUCAUCUAUCAUCUAAACAGCCCAGUUAAUUUGGCAGAGCAACAAAACUGCUUUCACUGGGAGCAAGGCUCUGUGAUCUGGGAUUUUUUUGGUGGGGGGUGGGGAAGGGAGUCAAUCAGGCUAUUUAAAAAACAAAACAAAACAUUUCAGUCUAGCAACCGGUGACUUGCAGUUCUACAGUUGUCAUAAUGUGGGUUGUUACUCUUGUACCUGCUUUGUGUGGACAUACAUGCUUGCACCUAAUUUUUUUAUGACGCUUUAGCUACAAAGUAGAAAAAUCAUAACUUGCUUUCUGCCAUUACAAGACCAUGUGAUCCCUUUAAAUGCCAAAUAAAAUAAAACAUCCCCUCUGUAUUUCCUAGGUGGUGGAGAGUGGGAGGUGCUUUGAAUUCAAGUGAGUAGAGAUGCUUAGCUGGGGGUGUGCGUGCGUGCAUGUGCGUCCUUGUUGUUUGGCUUGAAUUCGGCGCUCAGAGGGAAAUGGGUCCUGAUGGAGAUGUUGGGCUGGUGGGACCAGGGUGUAGCAGACUGCUCCUUUCAGGUUGUGUCCCUGCUCUCGCCGUGGCCGGGCUGCAGGCUACGGCUGGGCGCUGCGUUGGGUUGGGAUGAGCUGCCCCCGGCUGCCGCGGGGCUCAGGCCAACAGCAAGAGCUAACGUAACGCCCCGACGUUCCCUCGCUGGGACAGCCGGUCCCCGCGGUCGCAGACAGCUGAGUUCACGUCAGUGAAAAUAUUGCAGGAAAGAGCUUGGUUUUCUUCACACGUGUUGAAAGUGCUUGAGUUGUUUGCUAGAAGAGCCUGUACAAAUCACACGCGUAAUUCAGCCGCUGCCGUACAAACCUUCCCUUCAGCAGAAGCUUCUUUGGAAAGCGCGAGCUGAUCGCAGCAAACUUUGACCCAAAUGUGCCGCAGCCCGGAGCCCCAAACGGCAGGUUUUAAACUUUUGCCGUCACUUCCUUCUGAGAUGCAGAGUGAAUCUAGGUCACCCUGCUUGUUUGUUUUUAAUGAGGCUAACUCUGAUUUCGUUCAUGUUGUGUCCUCGAGUUUGAGAGGGAAAAAACCAGAGAUUUGGAACGGCAAAUUAGCCUCAAAGUCAUUCUUUUUAAAUCACACACAUCUCUGCGCAAGGAAGUGGUUUGAUGUUUCGUUCCAAGGCAACGUUGGCAGUGUCAUUUAAUAUUCAAAGUACAGAAGGAAUACAAAAUUUCCCCUUUUUCCCUUUUCACUGAGAUUUUAGCGUUAAGCUGUUGAGCUGAAUGAACAGGCCUGUGUCUAGGGCUUCUUCAGUGAUUAACAAAAAGGCCAAUUCUGGGCGAGCGAACUGUGCGCUCUGCCUGAGGCUGGUACGUCAGUUAAAGGGAAGCGGCUGAACACGAGGGUAUUAGUUUGUCUCGAGCUUCUCGGCGAGCGCGAUGGCGUAAAUAGAUGCGUUUGUUUGCUGAUCUCUCUCUUG